rnacentral:rRNA from 1 species
CUGAAAGCAUCUAAGCGGGAAACUCGCCUUGAGAUGAGAUAUCCCUGGGAACUUGAUUCCCCUGAAGGGUCGUUCGAGACCAGGACGUUGAUAGGCUGGGUGUGGAAGCGCAGUAAUGCGUUAAGCUAACCAGUACUAAUUGCCCGUGAGGCUUGAUCCU